UGAAGAACCGUGCUUUGGAAUACCAAAAUAUGGAAAUGUCUGAAGAGUCAGGUUCGGAUAAACCUACCUAAGACUGUUUAUUUUUUAUAUGUUGGUUAUUGGUCCUCCCAAAUUUUUAUUCUAAGUGUUCCAAAUUCCAUUGAAGGUGUCACCACUGAGUACAACAAUGACGGCAUAUAUGAUUCCACUGAGAACAACAACUACAUAUACGCGCUACGGUCACUUCAGAAACUACGGGAUGAUACUAUUCACAAGCAACGCGUACUUCAGGAUCGAAUGGCUCAAUGUGAUAUGGACAUUCAGAUGACCUUGAGUGAAGGGGCGAUGACACCAAAAGUGGUCUUAGACAAAUAGGAGGAAAUUGGCUCAAAUAUGAUGGAAGUUGCCAAUUCAUCUUGCUCUGGAGAUGGCGGCCAAUCCAUCACUAGGAUUAAGGGAUUGAGGGAGGCACUCCUCGGACAUGAUUCAU